CCCGCCCCGCCCCGAGCCCCGGUGCAAGCACAGCCGCGUGCACGGGCCGCGCCGGGCAGUGCUGGCGGCCGGGAGGGCUCCGGGCUGGGCUCGGCAGGGAGCUUCACAGCCCUGGGGCAGCCCCGCCGGUGGAGGAGGGCACCUGGGCAGACCCUUGUGGGGGGCAGGGGUCUCACCCCGAUGCCAGGAGAGCAGCUGGUGCACCCCCCGCCCCUGCUGCAGCACCUGGCCUGCACUCACCUGGCCUCGGGGGGAAACCUAAAGCUGACAGCAGGGACAAAAGCAAAGGACCGAGGUUCAGGAGUGCCCUGAGGGGGGCACCGAGCACAGCACCCGACAGCCCUCCAAGCCAGGAGCCCGCAGGCACGGCGCGCCAAAGCUGCCUGGAGAUGCGAGCACUGCCGGGAAAGGAGACUCUUAAUUUGCAGGGAGCUCGUGGGAGCAGCGCCGAGCCAGACCCUAGAAGGCAAGAGCUGCUUUAAAAUAGCCACAGCAGCAGCACGGGCUGGGGAGGAGGGGGCCGCUCCAGCUUCUGGGGGGUGCCCAAAAUAGCCACCGGCAUCCCCCACCCGGGGGCAGCUGAGGGUGACCUCGCUCCUGGGAUUCUUUACAAGGCAGCUGGGAAGGGGAGGCGGGGGCUGUUCUGCCUCCCCUUGGGAGUGAGAUGAGAGGGGCAUGGAAGCUUCCCAGCAGUGUGAUGCCUAGAGGCACGCCAACUUGGAGGGCAGAAUCGCUGGUCCUAAAAGGACUCCCUCCCCAAGGCCCUGCCCUGCUAGAGCAGCUGGGCUCCAGCCUGCAGGAGCAAGAUGCAGGCGGCAGCCACGCCCGCUCGGGAACCUUCCUUGAACCGCAGCAGCAAGUCCGGCUCGGGUCCAUCGCACCCUGCAGCCGGGACCCAGCCUUGCCUGGCGCGCUCCGUAUCUGCAGAGUAAGCGAGCCCAGGCGGCUCCCCUCCCCCAGCCUGCUGCCGGGCUCCAUUUGGGGUUAGAACACUUAUCAAUUUUUUAUUAGCUGGAUAGGGGAAAAAAAAGUCCCCCUCCCUCCCAGCCCCGCGGGCUCCUGGCUUGCAGUUGAGGCUGGCACUGGUGAUGUGCUCAGGCCUGGCACACUGAUGCCCCCACUCCAGCUGCUGUUCUAAUUCAAGUGCCUAUUUGUCGGCCCUCUUGACGCCUGUGCUUCUCCCUCCCAGACCUCCCGGUUCAGACACUAUCACAUCAAAGAAAAAGGCAAGAGCAAGUCAGGUUAGAAUAUGUUUCACGUUGGAGGCAGUCGGUAAAGCAGAGCACUGGAAGGGUCCCACUCAGCUGACAACCAAGGCAGACCUGUAACACGCGAUGCACAGGCGUGACGGCGCCUUCCUCACGCACGGAGAAGCACGGGCCUCUCGGAGCUGCCCACAGCAUCCGGAGCUUGCCCCAUCUGACCCGGCUUGGGGGUUGUCUUGGGGUUGCGCAGGCUGUGGGAAGCCACCUUCCAGCGGUGGACUGAGUCACAGCAAGAAGGGGCUGGUUGCACUGGUGCUGCAGAGAUGGGGCUGGCUCUGCUGGGAAGGGGGCAGCUGUUGCUCUCGGGGGGUGUCAUAAAUCGCGUCUUACAAAAAUAGAAUCCGUGUUGUUCCCCCUCCCUGCACCGCUUCCCCUCCACAGAAAUCAUCAGCGGUGCGAGGAGCCUGGAAUGUGCUAUAGAGUUGCAUCGGAGACCUGCAGAGCAGACAUGCCAGCGCGGCCACGGAAAUCCUGGUAACCCUGCCACAGGUCAGACUGGGAAGAGCUUGUGUUUUCCACUGCCAGGGAGGGAGGCAUCCGGUGAUGUGGGGAAGAACUAUCUCAGACUAUUUUUCUCCUGGUUUUGAAUAGGGAUGGGAAGAAGCCAGG